rnacentral:rRNA from 1 species
UGCGUAGGGGGCAAGCGUUGUCCGGAAUCAUUGGGCGUAAAGCGCGCGUAGGCGGCUAGAUCAGUCUGCUGUAAAAGUCAAAGGCUCAACCUUUGAAAGCCGGUGGAUACUGUCUAGCUAGAGUCCGGAAGAGGCGAGUGGAAUUCCUGGUGUAGCGGUGGAAUGCGCAGAUAUCAGGAGGAACACCAAUGGCGAAGGCAGCUCGCUGGAACGUAACUGACGCUGAGACGCGAAAGCGUGGGGAGCAAACAGG